rnacentral:rRNA from 1 species
UUGACCUCGGAUCAGGUAGGGAUACCCGCUGANCUUAGC